rnacentral:rRNA from 1 species
UACGUAGGGGCAAGCGUUGUCCGGAAUCACUGGGCGUAAAGCGCACGUAGGCGGAUUCUUAAGUCGGGGGUGAAAUCCUGGAGCUCAACUCCAGAACUGCCUUCGAUACUGGGAAUCUUGAGUCCGGAAGAGGUGAGUGGAACUGCGAGUGUAGAGGUGAAAUUCGUAGAUAUUCGCAAGAACACCAGUGGCGAAGGCGGCUCACUGGUCCGGUACUGACGCUGAGGUGCGAAAGCGUGGGGAGCAAAGCA